AGCUCCAUUAGUGUAUAUUAAAGUUGUUGCGGUUAAAAAGCUCGUAGUUGGAUUUCUGUCGGGGAUGGCCGGUCCGGUCUAAGACUGUGUAUCAGGUCCAGCCUUGGCAUCCUCGUAUUCUUGCGAUCAUUAAUUUGGUUGUGGGUGUGCGACUUUUACUUUGAGGAAAUUAGAGUGUUCACGGCAGGCUUUCGCCCUGAAUAUAUUAGCAUGGAAUAAUAAAACAGGACCUUGGUACUAUUUUGUUGGUUUCUAGAACUAAGGUAAUGAUUAAUAGGGACAAUUGGGGGCAUUCGUAUUGACGUGUCAGAGGUGGAAUUCUUGGAUUACGUUACGACGAACUACUGCGAAAGCAUUUGCCAAGGAUGUUUUCA
rnacentral:rRNA from 1 species